rnacentral:misc_RNA from 1 species
UCAAGCGAGAGUUGUGAACGGUGCUUGAAUAAUGCGAGCAACAGUGGUACGGCUGGCAAUGGGAACACAACAAAAUACUGAGUUUUGAAGGCUUGAUCGAAGUUAAUAAGCAGAUCUGCCUUUGUUGGUUGUGAGAGGCAGAGAUGUCUGCCCAAGACAACCCUGUGCCUGUCAUAAAGGAAGGAUUCCUCUGGAAACGAGGAGAACACAUUAAGAACUGGCGGAAGCGAUACUUUAUCCUGCGUGAGGAUGGAUCCUUCCUUGGCUUCAGGACAAAGCCAGAACAUGGACUCAAUGACCCACUCAAUGACUUCACAGUCAAAGACUGUCAGCUUAUGCCCCAGGAGAAGCCCCGUCCUAACACAUUUAUAAUCCGCGGCCUGCAAUGGACAACGGUAGUGGAGCGCAUGUUCUGUGUGGAGAGUGCUGACGAGCGUCAAGAGUGGAUGGAAGCAAUCCGCUCCAUUGCUGCAAACAUGAAAGGCACAGAUGACGGAGGAGCAUCUGUCUUUGAUAAAUCAAAAAAGAAAGUGACCUUGGAUGACUUUGACUUCCUCAAAGUGUUGGGUAAGGGAACGUUUGGCAAGGUAAUUCUGUGUAAGGAGAAGGCCAACAGCCAGCUGUAUGCUAUCAAAAUCCUCAAGAAACAAGUUAUUAUUCAGAAGGAUGAAGUGGCACAUACUUUGACCGAGAACAGGGUCCUACAAACCACCAAGCAUCCAUUUUUAACGCAACUCAAGUAUUCAUUCCAGACACCUGACCGACUGUGUUUUGUGAUGGAGUAUGUGAAUGGAGGAGAGUUGUUUUUCCAUCUGUCCAGGGAACGAGUUUUCACAGAAGACAGAACACGGUUUUAUGGAGCAGAAAUAAUCUCUGCAUUAGGAUAUCUUCAUGAAAAUAAUAUAGUCUACAGAGAUCUGAAGUUAGAAAAUUUAUUACUAGACAAAGAUGGACAUAUCAAAAUUGCUGACUUUGGUCUAUGUAAAGAAGAGAUGUUUUUUGGUGCCAGCACAAAGACGUUUUGUGGAACUCCAGAGUACCUGGCACCAGAGGUGCUUGAGGACAACGACUAUGGCCGAGCAGUAGACUGGUGGGGAACAGGUGUGGUUAUGUACGAGAUGAUGUGUGGACGUUUACCAUUUUACAAUCGUGAUCAUGACAUUUUGUUUGAACUGAUUCUUGUGGAGGAUGUGCGAUUCCCAAAGACAUUAACACAAGCUGCCACAUCUCUACUCGGAGGAUUAUUAAUAAAAAAUCCAAAGAAGAGACUUGGUGGUGGAGAAGCUGAUGUAAAGGAAAUCACAGACCAUCCAUUUUUUGCGCCAGUUAAAUGGGAUAAACUGAUCGAAAAAGGGAUUCCACCGCCCUUCAAGCCUCAGGUGACCUCCGAGACUGACACGCGCUAUUUUGAUGAUGUCUUCACUGGAGAGUCUGUGAGCCUGACUCCGCCCAACAAGCAAGGGCCUGGGGAGUUCCAGUUCGGAAACUUCAACCUGGCUAAUGGAGGCCAUCCCCUGGAGAGCAUUGACGAGGAGAUGCCUGAGGCCCUGCCCUACUUUGAGAAGUUCUCCUACCAUGGUAGUAAGGUGUCGCUGGCCCACAGCCACGCCUCCAGUUGUAUGAGCUUUGAGACAACAUGGAGCACAUGACCUCACAGACACUCACAUAUAUAGGACCCAUAGGGUCAUGUGACUCCCGACUGUGUGGCAUGUCAGCACAAGAGAUCUGCUAGUUGAUGGUGCCAUCCACUGCUUUCAGGUCACGUGGUCAAGUUACUUUUUGAUCAUAUGAUUUACAGACAAAUUUGCCACAUGAACCAAGGACAUUGAUGUGGGUUCACAUGCUCUGUACCAGUUGAUCCAUAUUGUUGUAACUAUUGGAUUCUUUUGUAACAGACGAAGGCCAUUGUAUAAUGAUUAUAUAAUGUGUAAAUUGAUUUUAAACGAGGUGUCAAAUUUGUCCUUCUGUCACACAGAUAUUACAUAUUAUCUGUCGACAACAGCACACAAAUGAUUGUCCAUUGAUGAACACACUGAUGUAUGUAACUUGUCAAUCAUGACCUGCAAUGACCUGUUAUUGUUGCGUGCUCGUUAACAGGAGGUAGUGGACAUAGAGUAGAAGUGCUACUAGGGAAGUUGUGUACAGUUCUUAAUGUUGGCAGGGUAAUAAAUCAUUGUCUUAGAAAAUCAACGUUCACAGUCUAGAAUUAUACAAAUAACCGAUAUGUUGCACAUUUUGUCAAAAUUCCUAGAAAUAUUUCUACAUGGAUGUAUUGCAGGAUACUUUUAUAGCACUAGGUUUGACACUUAUGCAUAUAUUUCUUCACCUCAAAAAAAUCUUCCAAGUUUGUUUGUUUUUCAUUUGUAUAUGUUUUCCUCAUGUGACUUGACAAGAGGUUAAAUGAGGUAAGAGAUAUAAAAGUUGGUUUUGUUUGCACCCUCAAAAAUUGGAAACCUAAAUGACAUGGGAUAAACCUAGGGGUGCCAAGCUUUAUAUAGUUGGUGGGAUUUGUGAGAGGUCAAAUGAUUUGUCUUCAGAGAGGAAAUAGAUCCUGGAUAUUUUUGUAGGUCGACACUUAUCAAGAGAAGGUGUCUUUGUAGGUCAACACUUAUCAUGAGAAGGUGUCUUUGUAGGUCAACACUUAUCAAGAGAAGGUGUCUUUGUAUGCCAACACUUAUCAAGAGAAGGUGUCUUUGUAGGUCAACACUUAUCAAGAGAAGGUGUCUUUGUAGGUCAACACUUAUCAAGAGAAGGUGUCUUUGUAGGUCAACACUUAUCAAGAGUCUUUGACCGCUAUCUGGUGGUAUAGCUGAAAUUUUCACACAAAAAAAUGGUUUAUCAACAAAUUGCUCUUUACUAUCUAAUUAUAACAAACAAUGAAAUCACUGGAGUUCUUUUCUGAAACUAUUGAGGGUUUGACAUUUUUUUUUUUAAUUCAGCCUGUCAAAGUUGUCCUUUUUAAAGAUAUAUCUUAACAAAUAUGAUGUAAAUGUGUAGUUGCUGGUCAUGUGGUUGUGUUUGAUAUUGCAGCUGUUCGUUAAUUUUUAAUUGAUUGGAUACGCAGCUUGCUAUCAUUUAUCAGAAUGAGUUUAAAUAUCAUGGGAACAGUAAUCUGAACUUGCUGUUAUAAGCUAUUGAAAUUGUAUUGUACUUGUUUAUAUUUUUAUUCUUAAGUAAUGCUAAUUAAUUGAGAUUAUAACUCACCUGUAAAUCAUCCAAUUUCUUGGUCACCUAAUUUAUACACAGUAAUGACAUGGAGUGAA